AUACCUUUCUCGGCCUUUUGGCUAAGAUCAAGUGUAGUAUCUGUUCUUAUCAGUUUAAUAUCUGAUACGUGGGUUGAAGGUUCACAUGAUAUUAAAUUAAUUUUUUUUGGGGGAGAAUUCACUACGAUAGCUUGCUAUUGAGAUUCUCGUGUGUCGUCCAAGCGUUGUACUACUGUUUGCGCUGGCGCACCCCAC